AGAGAACUGACAUGAGUAAGAGCAUGGUCAUAGAAUACCGGCUUUACACAGGGGGAUUAUUUUCAGAUAGUUUUUAACCCUACUCGAUUUGUAAAAGUUGCUUGGUUUUAUUUUUUUAAGUAAGUGUCAUAUGGAUAAUAUGCCUAACUUAUUUUGUUAUUUUGGUUCCAAUAAAAAUUGUAAGUUUCGGUGUUUUCGUGC